GACAGGGGAUGCAAGCGUUACUCGGAAUUACUGGGCGUAAAGCGUCUGCAGGCGUCUCUCCACGUCUGGUGUCAAAUGGCAGAGCUCAACUCUGUCAACGUGCCGGAAACGAGAGAGAUCGAGUCACUCAGAGGCAUCUGGAAUGUCGUGUGUAGGGGUAAAAUCCGUUGAUCCACGAUGGAACGCCGAAAGCGAAGGCAGGAUGCUGGGGGUGUACUGACGCUCAGAGACGAAAGCGUGGGGAG
rnacentral:rRNA from 1 species